AGCACAAAAUAGAAUUUCAAGAAUCCUGACAUCAAAUAUUAUAGUUCGUUUCUGUUCCGUUUGCUUUCAGGGACUCAGAAAAGAACAAAGUCUCAAGAAAAUGAGCUUGAGAGCGCCAAGGGAAAAAAUAGUUCUUUUUUGGAUUUUGUUUGGUAUCAAAGUACUCAAGAUGAGAUAGAAAGGAUCACAAAUCGAGUUCUUUUUUGGGCUUUCUUUUGUUUCAGAAACUCAAAAACUUGAAAAGAAGAAAAACCCAAAAAGGAAUUCCAACUAAACAAGGUCCGAGUCAUCAGAAAUCGAUUUAUUGUUGGGUGUUGUUUUGGUUACAGGAACGCAGAACCGGUGAUACAUCCAUCGAGUAUAAGCGAGAAUAGGAAAGUCAGCUUCGCCAGAGAUGGAAGAUCGGUGCUACGUGGCGAUAAGGUCAAUGGGGUUCGAUGACAAUGCGAAGAUGAAAGAGAGGAUACAGCGGUUAUCUGGCCAAAGCUAUUUAUUUCACUAUCAAAGCAAAGAAAAGGAAGAGGAUUUCAUGGUGAUGAAGGAGUGUAAGCUUCCUCAGAGAUCCAAGAAGAGGGCCAAAUAUAUACAGAGGAUCAAACUCGCAUCUCCAGCGAAGACAAUCUUCUUCCGGCGACCGGCGAUAGAGGUUUAGUGUUUCUCUCCCUGCGGUGGUUUCUCUGCAACUGAAACCCGAAAAGGCAAAGGCAUCACUGGCGAAGGCAAAUUUCUUCCGGCGACCGGCGACAGAGGUUUAGUGUUUCUCUCCCUGCGGUGGUUCAUCUGCAACUGAAACCCCAAAAGGCAAAAGGCAUCAACGGCUUCAUCUGCAACUUUGUGCUUCUACAGCUUCACCUGCAACGGCUUUCAUCUGCGGUGGUUUUAAGGCAUCAAUGGCUUGUGAAAUACAUAGGCUCCAAAAACUACCAAGUUCCAUAAGGCAAAGCUGCAGUUGAGCUUGUUUCGGGAGCUUCACCUGGGAUACAAACAGCAAUAGAGCUCAAUAAGGGUACGACCUAUAACUUGGAAUUUGUACUUGGAGAUGCAAACGGCUCUUGUGUGGGAGAUUUCAUUGUGAGGGCGCAAGCAGGAUCUACAUCAAUGAACUUUAUGAUGCAGGCCAACGGAACCGGCUUGGCCCAAAGCUUCCUCAUGACUUUCAACGCAGAUUCAGCUCUUACAAACAUCACCUUCGUUAGCCUAACCACGGGUCAGACAAGAGAUUGUGUUUUGUGAUCCUGUGAUCGAUAACGUGGUACUCCAUGCUUCAUUUGGGCUCAAACCACAAAUGCAGAGUUGGGUGCUGUUUUUAUGCUUGGUUUUCUCGUAGAUGUUGUAUAGAUUAUUGAGAAAUAGAGCCAAAUAUGAAUCUGUUUUACCACUUAUUAUCAUAUUUUACUGUUAUUUUUUUU